UACGUAGGGGGCGAGCGUUAUCCGGAUUUAUUGGGUGUAAAGGGUGCAUAGACGGUUAGACAAGUUGGUUGUGAAAUCCCUCGGCUCAACUGAGGAACUGCAACCAAAACUGCCUAACUUGAGUGCGGGAGAGGAAAGCGGAACUCCUAGUGUAGCGGUGAAAUGCGUAGAUAUUAGGAGGAACACCAGUGGCGAAGGCGGCUUUCUGGACCGUAACUGACGUUGAGGCACGAAAGUGUGUGGAGCAAAC
rnacentral:rRNA from 1 species